AACGGGGGGGGCUAGUGUUAUUCGUGAUGACUGGGCGUAGGGUACGUCGGUGGAUCCUAUGACAUAUAGUAAAAGACUGAGGAUAACCCUCUUUAAUCUAUAUUUAUCUAUUAUCUGAGUUCUAUGGGUGGCAUAUUGAAUUCCUUAAGUAAGGGUUAAAUCUGUUGAUAUCUGGAAGACAUUCAAAAGCGGAAGCAAAGGGCCAAUAUAGAUCUGACACUCAGGUACUAAAGUCUGAGGAGCGAAGAGG
rnacentral:rRNA from 1 species